AAAUGUCAAAUUGAUUAAAAAUUCAUUUCGAAAAUGCAUUGAAAAAUUGUUUGAAAAAAAAAAUAAAAAGGAAUUUCUCUUCCCCUUCCUCUUUUCGGCCUGGAGACCCAGCAACCCCCGCGCGCGCCCUCUCCUUCCUGGGCCGCGGCCAAGCCGCUUCCCCCUUCCCCUUCCCCUCUCUCUCCCCGCUGACAAGCCGGGCCCGCCUGUCAGCUUCAUCUUCCCCCAACCGCUGCCCCGCUCUUUCCUCUCUCUCAGUUGGAAAACCACCAAGCCGCGCCCCCGCUCCCCCCACGUUCCCUCCCCCGCGCCUCGGCUUCAGUUGGAGAAACCCCCCCCCUUUUGCGCCCGAGCCUUCUUUCUUCCCCAUUCCCCCUCCUCGCCUCUGUAUUCCUCUCACUCUCGCGCAGAAAACUGUCGCCGGAGAAGCAAGCGCCGCCGCGCGUCGUCCCUGCGUUUGGGGCCGCUUUCGCUCCGAAUUCGCGCCGUGGUGAGCUUCGUCCUCUUCCCCGCUCCCUCCCCAUCCAUAUGCCGUGCGAAACGAGGUUCUUUAAGUGCCCAACCGCGCUCACUGGAGAACUCCAUGGCCGCCGGCCAUGGAGUGAGCCGCUCGGCCCUCCCCCGGCCGCAUUUUAGCCCGGGGUGAGUUCGCUUUCGCAUUCUCUCUCUCCCGGUGGUUUCGAAUUGGAAAACCGCGCGCCGUAGCCCCCCUUGAAGUGCGCCGGCGACCUUGCUCGCCGCGGCCAUGGAGCGCCGCCGCCGUCCCCUCCCCCUCCGGCGGCCGGCCCCCUCCUCUCCCCUUUCUCCCCCCAGGAUCUAAUCCUGGCCGUCCAUUUCAAAUCGGACGGCCAGAGACGCCCAAUACCCCUUCGGGGGGGGGAAAUAGCUUAAGAGCCCCCCUAAAACUAUGUUUUGCCCCGCAGUCCUCGGCCAGAGAAAUUCCAGAAUUUCUUUAUUUAUUUAAAUUCGUUUAAAUAUGCUUUAUUUACAGAUUUGCCACUGCAGUGUUUUGGCCAUAAAAUAUUCGUUAUAGCUCCGAUUUGACACGUUCAAAUUGCGUUAGGUUCGUAAUUAAAUUCUCUACAUGAUAGUACUACUGUUUCUGUAGUUUGCAACUUUUUAUUUUUAGGGUUAGGUUUAAUUAAUUAAUUGCCUAUAGGAAAUCGCCGGAAAGUCGUAACUUGGUCGUUUUAGCUCCGAUUUUCGUGAUCUUCGUAUCGAUGUGAUCGUAGCGAAUCGUAGGUUCUGUUUUUAAGUAUUUUAUUUCAUUUUUGAUCUGUUGGUGUACUGUUCUAAUUAAAUGAUUGUUUGCUUGUAUGAAUGAACCUGGAUGCGUGUUGUUGUGUGGUACCGAUCGAGCGCAAACGGUGACGUGUCCGUGGGUGAUCCAUUUUACUUCGAGGAGCAACAGGACCAGCAGCAGUUCCCCUUCACUGAAGGCAAGUAUAACAUGGGUUUCCCUUGUACACCUAUCCACUUAAUUAAUUACGCAUCUGCAUGCGUCUAAUUUGGUAACCCUAAGGACACCCUAGCUACCUGACUAUAUAUUUAUGACACCUAUGGGUAGAUUGCAUAUGGGUAGCUUUGCUAGUGCUUUAAUUAAUUGAGACUUUAUUAUCACUCUGACUUUAAUGAAUAUGAUGAUAAAUGUUGGGAAAAAGGGUUAUGGUGCAAUUGACUCCGGUCGGGUUGACCUAGACCCUCCGUAAGGACUUCUCUGUAAGCGACAAUCCGGGACUUACAGUGUAACCGUGAUGGUUAUAUGGCUCUAACUUUAGCUCAGUAAUAGGACCUCAUCUAGCUGGUUAGAGGUUACCUGAAAGGGCGCAAGAGGGGCUUGCCACUUUGGGUAUAGGACUGCUUCUGUUCCUAUGUGUAUAGCCGUGAUGGAAAUGUGCCAUAGGAAAGGGGGGUUCUCUAUAUCUGCCUGCCGAGGAAACCUCGCGGCCCUAACUAGUUAGACGUGGCCUAUGGAAGGCUUCAUAGUGUUCCCUGCCCGCUCACCUUGGCAGUGUUAGUGGGUCUUGCAAACCCCGGGCAUAUGGGUAACACGACUUACGGGAAAAGUGCACACCUCUGCGCAGAGUUUGAUCAAACUGGUAUACUAGCCGUGCUCUCGGACAUGAGCGGCCUUGGACCCUUACGGAAUAGUUGGGUGUGGAUGGUUAUGGGAAAUAACUUAUGAAAAUCUAACGCAUUGAUCGUGAUGAUUAAUGUGGUUUGACUGUGAUGGUGAUGGUGUUAGCCGUGAAGGUUAACGGUGUUAUUAUCAUGUACUCAUUUGGGCUAAUCCGGAGUUUAAGCAUAAUUGAUGAUUAAAUAGGAUUAAAACAUUGACCAACUAAAAUGCUAACUGCAGUAGCCAGUGUCUGACCCUUUUGAGCCGCAUAAAAUCCUGUGUUAUGCUUGCGGAGUACGAGAUGUACUCACGCUUGUCUUUAUAUUUCUUUUUUUGGACAAAAUCCCGGAUUGGUAACAGAUGACAGCUACUAUGAGGAAUUCCCAGAGGACUUCUAGGUUGGCGAUCCCCCAGUCGGUCGUCCCUGUGUUGGAGCUUUUAUAUCACAGCUAGUUAUGAGUUAUAUUUUCCGUUUGUCGCAGACUUUGAUAUGUUUGUGUUGUAAUAACGUUAUGUAAGACACUUGUGAUGAUACAUUUGUAAUUUGUCGACUUGUGUGCGUGACUAUUCCUGGGGCGCAUAUGAGAUUAUUUUACUCAAAUUUAUCCUUAAAUUUGGGUGUGACAUGUUAUCACCAUCAUCACCAUACAUCAUUCAUUCGCCACACAUGCACAUCUUGAUUUGACUUAUUGACUUGUUUCUCUGGAUCCAUGGUUUGACUAUGCAAUAAUUGUAUUGUAAGUAUGUAUUAGCUGUCUCCCACCUAUGAGCUCCAGAUAUCAAAACCUUAUUAGAGUAGGGUGAGAGAGAAGCCAAUACCACUAUACCUCAUACCAAAAAUACCACAUAUUUUGAGAGAAGGCAUAUACCAUUACUGCCUUGGAAAGGAUCCAGAAAUACCACAAAAGAGAGAUCUGAGAGAGUCAUACAAGGAAUCUCUGAGUUUUAUUUGAAAAUCUGCAAAAACUCCAGAGCUAUAGCUGAUCAAGAAUAAGAGACAUGGCGCUUGACUUGACCGUUCUAUCUUUUAACUGCUCAAGACACAAGUGACGGUUACAAGCCCCAUGGUGAAAGGUAAAAUGAGUAAGUUUUAAGUCUUAACAGUUUAUUCUAAACUCAGAGAUGAGAUCUUGCUUGAAUGCAUAUGUACCAUUAAGGCAUGAAACCACUGCAGAAACUUUUGUGUCCAUCCUUGCUUAGGGACGAGCAAGAGGUAAGCUUGGGGGAGUUGUUGACGGUCCUUAAGUACCAAAUAUAAUCAUCAAAUAAAUAAAGAAAAGGAUCCAAAUGUAACCAACACCUAGACCUAGGGUUUUAUCUGACAGAAUUCCACGAGUUUUGGUGUUUGUCUAUUUCUGCAGGGGGUUAUCAGGAAAUAAGGAAGAAAGGCUCACACGUCGGGAUUACAUAGAGAUAUCAACGCACCGCGCAAUUUUCUAUCAUCUAGAAGAUUCCAGAAGCCAUGGGGAGAAAGCAGAGGCCGAAAGGGGCCAGGCCCAGGGCGCCCGCCCUGUCCUGGACUCCGUUCGGGGCUCUCUUCGCACACGAUGUUCCACCGACCUAAAGGAUCAAGGAUAACGUAGUACCACAUCGCCUACCGACCCAAAAACGGAUAGAGGAGGAGGACUAUAUAAGGAGACCCCCCUGGCCCCUGGAGAAGACAAAAAGUUAUCAUAGAGAUUGAGGGGUGCCCUCGAAGGAAAACCUCUUCUCUAAAUAAAAUUUCUUUUUAGGCUUAGCAACCAAUGUAAGUAGAAAUAGAUCUUCUAGUUUCUACUAGAUUGAGAGAGAUAGAGUGGAGGUGUAGAUCGGAGGAAGGCCGGCCUGUCGGUGUCUACUCCGAGGUUGUACCUACGGGAUCAAGUCUUCUAACCCGAGGCUUGCUCCUAAGAUUCUUCAGUAAUUCGACUUCUAAUUCUAGUAAGUUCUUGUUUAUUGUUCUUUGGUUUAUGAGUUUACUUUAAUCCUCUUCCGGUUGAGUAUUAGAGUAAUCAUUGCUGGCGUAAACGUGGUGUUUAGGCUAGGGUACUCAUAGAUAUCCCCUGACUAGCUGGACCGUGGUAGUAGCGAGGAACGUGACAUUUCCGAGUUACCUUUGUAUCCCAUAUCUUGUUAGCAGGACGGGUAGGUUUAUAGGUGCGGGUCGAACAUCCUUUGUGUUGUCUAGAUUCCGUGAGCCUCCCCAAUAGAAUAGCAGAUCAUCCUUACCAAGGUUAGAACGAGACUACGGUUGCAGUCUUCUCUAUACAUCGCUCACAUCGAGAAACAUUCUUUGUAGCCUAAAGGGAUAGUAGCAAUAGAUUUGGUUAGUCAGAUGCACCCUUUCUCCCAGUGGUAAAAAUAUAAAUACGAUACUCUGGAAAACCUCCCGGGUGAAAUGCUCACCGAUAUCCGUGUGCUUGCGGAUCAUUUCCUUAUUGCGUUACCAAAUAUCAACAAAGUGCACUACAGAGGAAUCAACAUAGUUGUCACCUACGCGAACUACCACUGUGCGGCUGAUUAUGGGACAUUCACAAGCAAACCUAGCCUAGGCACCAUGCCUACGCUACGAAAUAUUACUUUAACCAAGUAAUGACCAAGACCAAAGCACUCAAUAUGAGUUGUGAACCAAAGAACAAAUAAAAACAAGUUGCUUACUUAAAUCGGAAUGGUAAGUACAAAAGUACCUCAGAACGCAGCUCCAGGUGAGAGAACUGGAUCCAGACGAAUACAGCCACGAAGAAGCACUGACAGGCCAGAACUCCUUCAGAAUCUCUACUCCUCUACUCAAUCUCUAUAAUCUCUAAACAAAACUAGAUCUAGAACUAGAACUAGAUGAACUAGAACUAGAUCAACUAGAGGGACCCUAACCCUAAUUAUAUAGAGAAUAUGAAGCACCGGGGUGUAGAAUGCCUCUAGGGUGGAGCCUUGGGUGUCAUUAUAUAGGCCGAGGUGGAGUAUGGGGCAAGGAACCGCCAUGUCAGCGAUCCGCGUCUUCAUCUUGUGUGCACCGAUGGAUCAAACCGACUUAAAAUCCACGGAGGGAUACUUUGCUUGGCUUCAAAGGAGGCAUGGGAGGAAUACUCCAGAAGGCGGCGACCAUCAGGCGAAAUAGGGUGCCGACCGGCCCCAAGGUGGGGCCGGCCAGCCCCACCUUUUCUCCUCUGCGAGUCUCGUUCCUUCGGGUGUCUUCUAGACCCUUCCUGAGCUUGAUGACAAUGUUUUCCGUCGAGAUAAGUUUCGUGGUAAAUUAUGCACUAGAAUCCCUCUUUUUUGAAAUUCACCCUGGAAAAUACAUAAUAUGCAAAACUCGUGGAAAUUGUCAGAUAAAACCGUAGACCAGUGUGUUUUCCUAUGUUCCCUUGUGUCGAAAGUUCUAACAAAUAUUGACGUUAUCGACCGUCAACAACCACUAGACCAAAUGUAGAACUUGAUGAGUGUAACAAACUUUGUAUUCAUGACUUUUCCAGUUGGGACAAUCUAGGGUUCGGUCAAAGUGUGUUUCUAAAAACCAAUGUUUUGACUUUGGUCAAACUUGGUCAAAUGACCCACUUGAUGAAUUCAAAUGAAAAACUUUUGAACACAAAGUUGUUAGAGAUCAUCAAUAUGUACAUUUGAUACAUUGUCCAUUUUCCAUUUGGAUACAUUUUAGACAAUCCUAGGCAUAUGUUUUUAAAAUCCAAGACGGUUUUUGGUCAAACUUGGUCAAAUGACAAACUAAAUUACUUAAAAUAAAAAUUGUACCCUACUCGCAUUUUGUGUAAUAAAUGACAAAAAUAAGAAUUUUAACGUCAAUAUGAUGUGAAGAUAGAUUUCCUGUUGAUUGUAUACAGUUUUUUAAAAUUUAUUGGAGUAAUAUAUUUUUGCAUUAACAAAAUACUAAACAUUAGUCACAAACUUAUUGAAAAUUUUAAAAAGACACUAAGAUAUUUAAGGUUAAAAAUUUUCAUGUGUACAUUAAAGAAAAAUAAAAUACAUGUCACUUUUUAAAAAAUAUUGUGCAAAAUAUUCAAUUUACUAUAGAAUUAAUAAGGUUUAGUGUAUAUAUAAAAGGGAAAACAAAUUGAAAAACAAAUUAAAAAGCUAAACUAAAAAACAGACGGGCAGCCCUGUUUUUGGGCCCUUUAGCACCGGCCCAUGGUUGGAACUGGUGCUAAAGGGUCCCGAAAAUUUCAGGAGCCCGCCCUGAGAACCCUUUAGCACCGGCCCGUGGCUAAAGGGUCCUUUUAGCACCGGCUGGUGGAACGCGCCGGUGCUAAAGGGUCACCCUUUAACACAGGCACGUGCCACCAGCCGGUGUUAAAGACCCUUUGGUACCGGUUCCAGCCACGGGCCGGUGCUAAAGGGUGUGCCCCUAUAUAAACGCAGAGGUUGCCCUGGAUCCGAACAGUCCUCAUCUUCGUCUUCGUCGAGCCCUCGCUGCCGGUCGUUCGUCUUCGUUGAGCCCUUGCCACCGCCGGCCGUCCUCAUCUUCGUCCUCAUCUCCAUCGCCGUCGCGGCCAUCUCCACCAGCACCGCCGCUGUCCACCGAGCAGUUCGAUCGGCCAUCUCCCAUCCCUACGUACUACAGUACACCAAGCAGUUAUGAAUUAGAUAUAUACUAAAAAAUAAUACAUAUCAUGAAUUAUAUAUAUAUAUAUAUAUAUAUGCCGAGCAGUUUAUAUAUAUACACUAAAAAAUAAUGCAUGUUAUGAAUUAUAUAUAUAAACUUUGGAAAGUGAUGGAAUAUGCCAAAUAGCUAGCCUAAUACAUAUAUGAUUCUAGUGUUUUAUAUAUAUUAUUGUUUGUAGUAUUAUUCUAGUAUUAUUUUUUAGUAUUAUUUUUAGUAUAUUAUUCUAGUAUUUUUUAGUAUAUUAUUCUAGUGUUUUGUAUAUAUUAUUGUUUGUAGUAUUAUUUUAGUAUUAUGUUUUAGUAUUAUUUUUUUAGUAUGUUAUUCUAGUAUCAUUCUCGUAUAUUACUAGGCUUAAAAGAUUCUAGUAUUAUUUUUUAGUUUGGAGCACUCUAGCACUUUCGUUUGUAGUAGUACUAGUACUAGUAUAUAAGUCUCUAAUAUAUAUUUUAUUUUCUAAUGUUUUGUAUAUAUUAUUGUUUGUAGUAUUAUUCUAGUAUUAUUUUUUAUAUUACUUUUUAGUAUACUAUUCUAGUUAGUAUUAUUUUUUAGUUUGGAGCACUCUAGCACUUUCGUUUGUAGUUAUAUAAAUACCCUUCCGCUACAACUUCGAGAGAGUUAUAAAGUUAUUAAGUGCAUGCACAUUUUAUUUUACUUAUUAUUACUCGAUCCGGGUUUCGUAUAGUUAUAGGCGUGACUAUAUAUAUGAGUGUAAACAACUUUCACUGGACACUUAUGGUUAUUGAAAUUCCCAAGAACCGGUUGAUAAUCUAUAACUCACUGAGAAAACCGCAAGAAAAUUACCAACAAAUGGUAAACAUUAUUCAAAGGUACGUAAUGUCGAUCUCAGCAACAAGAAUAUCAUAAUAUGACUCUGCGAUUAUUAAUUGUGAUCCACAAUGGCUGUAUGUAGGGUUUGAAAAAAAUAUAUUGACCGUGAACAUCUCAUUGGUUGUAAAGCGCCGCUUAAUAUACUCCAACCACAAGUAAGUUGUACUAGGUAGCAAACUUUCGCUAACUGUUAGCUUUCUUAUUGUCGUGGUCGUGAAUCUUUUCUAUAUAUCGUACAGUGGUGUUUAAGACAAGAAGGGGGAACAACCUAUGUGGAUAUUACGUCUGCAAAUUCUUGAUGGUACACAUCAAUCAAACACCCACAGAGACCCUCAGAGUACGUUACAUGUCUCUUUCCUUUUAUUUUAAAUUGAAGACGGAAUAGUUGAGGAAAAAGGUCAUACAAAAAGACCGCAUCAAAGCUAAACAAGAGACGAUAGCAGGAUUCCUCCACGAUCAAGUGAUCAAUCCAAAUGGCGAGUUUCACUUCAACGGCAACGAAACUCUUAUUCUAAACAACGAUGAUCAUUUGUAUCGGCUCUAGAAAUUUGGAGAAGAAAACUCUAUGUAUAUAUAUGUGAGGAAUGUUAUACCUAUAAAACUAUAUGUAAAGCUUGUUACAUAUCCAUCUAUUUAAUUAUUAAUGUGGCCUAUUCGUUUUAUUAUAGGCAAAGCUUAAUUAUAAAGCUAAGCUUAUAAUAGUAUUUAUACUUAAUAUGCGUGUAAUAUAUAUAUAUAUAUAUAUAUAUCAGCAUAAAAUACAUAUUGACAAACUAAUUAUUAUUAUUAUAUAUAAACAAUAAAUAGAAACGAAUAAAUGAACCGAAAACAAAAAAGGACCCCUCUAACAGUUAUACCAACCGGUGUUAAAGGGUGCUACUGUGUGGCAGCCCUGGCAGCACCCUUUAGACCAACCGGUGUUAAAGGGAGGCCUUUAGCCCCGGUGCCCUAAACCGGGACUAAAGGGUGGGCCUUUAGUCCCGGAAGGGCAGCACCGGCUCGGGAACCGAGGCAACAGGCCCUUCCCAACCGGUGCUAAUGCGUGAACAUGUAGCAGUGGGAUCCACAGCCUCACGGACUCGCGUGAGGGAGAUCUACCGGUGGAGCGUCGUGCCGCUGGGGAUGUGCUCUGUGCUGCCGCCGCCAUCAGGCGCCCGGGUGUGGGCGACCCCGGAAGCCACCGCGGAGGACAACGCCUUCCAUCUUCACCACCCCGCCCUUAAUCUGAGACGGCAGCCCUCUAUCCAUGCCACCACAUGUGUCGCCGUAGCUGGAGGACCUUGGGGAGCAGCGUGUCGCCAACCAAGAACGAGAUAGCAGUGUUGGGUCGCCGCGCCGCCAAGAACGCCACCUUGGCCCCAUGGCUCCGCCGCAACCUCGACUAGGCUCACGCCCACGCUGCUGCCUCAGCCAUGCCGGGCCACGAGGCCGCCAACCCUCGAUCCACAUGGGGCGCGUCACCUUGUUGAGGGAGAGGGGAGAUAGGGUAAGGGGAGAGAGGAGGGAGCGCGGUUGAGGGAGCGAGGAAGGGGCCACGGGCAUCAUGUGGGGGAGCGGCAGCUGAGGGCUGAGGAAGUGAGUGGGCCAGAAGAGAGGUUAGGGUUUUCACUACAUAUACACUCGACACUGGUAUUCGGCUGAGAAAUAGUAGCGGGCUGGGUCAGAUUUUAGGAGGCGGGUCUUAUAAAAUAACCAUCUCGGUUAAUGAUUUACUGAGGUGGUUAUAUUAUAAUGCUCGCCUCAGUUAAUAGGCAUUAACCGAGGUGGUUAUAUUACAUUGUCCGUCUCGGUUAAUAGAUUUUAGGUUAACUGCCUCGAUUAAUAAAAAAUUACCGCCGUUAAUACAGGUAUUAACUACUGAGGUGGUUAAAUUUCCUGCCCGCCUCGAAGACACAUUACUAAAUUAUGUGCAAAAUAAUUUGUGUAGUAGUGUCUUCGAUUCCUCCGCGGCUAUGCUCCAGUACAUCAACUAGCCGGCGGCGCACAGGUUUACCGAGGCCAAAGGUGGCCUGCUGCGGGCUCAGGAACAUGAACGCCAAGAUCGGGUGUACUCCGCUGAGCUUCUACUGUGCAAGGAAGGUGAUGCGUGCGAUUCCGCUCUGCACAUUUUUACGCACGGAUGAGGCCUGUUUGCCAAGUGCCGAAAGAUGGCAAAUGGAUAUAUGGAACUCUUAGAGAUGAGUUUUUUCUCUUUUUUCAUAAAAAAAUACGGAUGCGGAACAAAUAUGGGGCAUUCUGAGAUGCUCGGCUAGGUGUUGUAAUGGACGAGCUAGGUGAACUCGGAUCAAUUAUUCCUGUCUAAGUCUAAUAUUUUCUAACACAUGGUUCAUGUGUAGACUAUUAAAAUGUGUAUAUAUAUGUAUCAGCUUCUUUUGUUGAGAAGGGAACCGGUGAUUAUUGUGCCAUCAGUACUUGAACAGUCUCAUUUGUGUUGCAGAAGGCAUUGAUUAGCAACCAGCAAAUUCGGCGCCAAAAGUUAGCAGAACGAUCACGUCUGUAACCACUUCACGUACCCACAGAUCGAUCAACAUGCAGUGCAGAGACCGGCUAUAUAAACCAAGCACUGCCUCUCCUAGCUCUUCACCCAUCUUCUACCAUUUCAUACGUAACACAGGUAGCUAGCUGAUGUGCUGGACGUGUUUCCCAAGCAUGGAGGCUGUGCCACGCAGAACAGUCCUCGGCGCUUGCGCGGUGGCCGUGCUGAUGGCGAUCGCCGUCGCGAAUGCUGGGUCCGCCGAGGCGGCGUCGGUCGUCGGCCUAGCCAAGUGCGCGGACUGCACGAGGAAGAACGUGAAUGCUGAGGCGGCUUUCAAUGGUAAAAAGUUACAUAGUACUGUAAUCAAUUGCGCUACGUUUAUUAGUAAUAAUAAUAUAAUAUAUGGUCCCUCUCCCGGCCGUAUUUUCUUGUCUUUUUGGCGCCUACAUCUAUCUCAGGUCUUAAGGUGGCGAUCAAAUGCAAGAACAGCAAGGGUGAGUACGAGAGCAAGGCUGUCGGCGAGCUCCAAAGCACCGGCGCCUUCAGCGUCCCUGUCUCCGUCAACCUCGCCGGCUGCGUCGCGCAGCUCCACAAUGCAGCAGGCACGCCUUGCCCGGGGCAGGAGCCGUCGAGGAUAACGCCGUUGUCUGAUGGCACCUUUGUUGCCAUCCCGGCCGGGAACACGCAACAGGCGUCAUCUGCGGUGUGUGCGUCGGUGACAAUCUGCGGCCCUGUCAUGAAAUAUUUCCACGAGCACUUUCACAAGAAGGACAAGAAGCCUGAGCCGUCAAAGCCCGAACCAGAGCCAGAGCCCAAGCCACAGCCAGAACACCAGCCUCCUACACCGACGUACGGUUCAGCAACGCCUCCAAUCUACCAUCCUCCUGCAAUGAACAUGCACUUGACCGAUCACUUCCACAAAGACCACGAGCUCGAGCACUUCUUCGACCACUUCCACAAGAAGCCUGUUGUACCGCCGAAGCCUGAGCCACAGCCGAAACCACAGCCAGAGAGCCAGCCUCCAACACCGACGUACGGGUCAGCAACGCCCACAAACGGGUCCCCAACUCCUGUGAGCAACCAUGCUCCGCACAUGUUCCAUCACUUCUACAAGGGUCACCAUGACCACCACUUCUUCGACUACUUCCACAAGAAGCCUGUGCCACCAGAGCCUAAGCCAGAGCCCAAGCCGCAGCCAGAUAACCACCCUCCCGUGCCAACGUUUGGCUCGCCUCCUCCACUCUACCACGCUCCGGCCAAACAUUGAGUCCGUUUUGUU
rnacentral:lncRNA from 1 species